GACGAACGCUGGCGGCGUGCUUAACACAUGCAAGUCGAACGGAAAGGCCCUGCUUUUGUGGGGUGCUCGAGUGGCGAACGGGUGAGUAACACGUGAGUAACCUGCCCUUGACUUUGGGAUAACUUCAGGAAACUGGGGCUAAUACCGGAUAGGAGCUCCUGCUGCAUGGUGGGGGUUGGAAAGUUUCGGCGGUUGGGGAUGGACUCGCGGCUUAUGAGCUUGUUGGUGGGGUAGUGGCUUACCAAGGCUUUGACGGGUAGCCGGCCUGAGAGGGUGACCGGCCACAUGGGGACUGCGAGACGGCCCAGACUCCUACGGGAGGCAGCAGUGGGGAAUAUUGCACAAUGGGCGGAAGCCUGAUGCAGCAACGCCGCGUGCGGGAUGACGGCCUUCGGGUUGUAAACCGCUUUCGCCUGUGACGAAGCGUGAGUGACGGUAAUGGGUAAAGAAGCACCGGCUAACUACGUG
rnacentral:rRNA from 1 species